UUUUAACAAAAUUGUCUGGCAACAGAGGCAAACUACAAUGUAUCAGCGAAUAUGGAUUUUAUUCUAUAAACAAAUGCAUAAUAAAACAAAAGUGCAUAUUAUAACUGCAUGUAAUAUACAAGUUAUACGAGUUAAACAUCACUUUUGGCUAAUUCUUGGGCCCUAUGUUAAUUUUUUAAUAAUCUUUCCUUUUGCACAAUAAAUUAUAAUUAGCUUAUAAUACGCAAAAAAAAUCCAAUGGGCCACAUGAGCAAGUGGGACUGUUGUGGAGGGACAAACAAAUUGAGCUUAAAGGGAUAGUUCACCUAAAUUCUGUCAUCAUUUACUCACCUUCAUGUUGUUACAAACUUGUAUACAUUUCUUUGUUCUGAUAAACACAAAAGAAGAUAUUUUGAGAAAUGUUUGUAACCAAACAGUUCGUUGACCCCAUUUACUUCUAUAGUAUAAUUUUUUUCCUACUAUGGAAGUGAAUGGGAUCCACAAACGGUUUGGUUACAAACAUUUCUCAAAAUUAUAUCUUAACUAGGAGGUCAGAGAUACUUGAUUUAGUUAAGCAGCCCAUGAUUUCGUUAACCAGUUAUCAAAGAUGCACCCUGCCUUUCACUUGCAGUGGAUGAGUCAACAAAUGACAAGCUGUGUGUUUGUGAGAUACUUCAGCAAGGCAAAGGGGACAUUCUGUGAAGACUUACUGGGCCUUAUACCUCUCUGAAGAAGAAGAGGACAUCUAUGAAGCUAUCAUGCAGAUGCUUAAUGAAAUAUAAACUGAUGUCAAGAAUUUUGUUUCCAUCACUACUGAUGGUGCUUCAGCUAUGAUAGGGAAGGAGAAGGGAGGUGUUCAGCAUCUGAAAGAGAAGCACUUAGACCUGCUGACAUACCACUGUAUAAUAAACCAGUCUGUUCUGUGUGCUAGCCUAGGAGAAGAAUAUGCAGAUGUCAUGGAAACUACUAUAAAGCUUGUGACCUACCUAAGAGCAUCUUCUGCCUGUCAUCAACGUCUUCUACUCAUGCAUUCUGACUGAUGCAAAUGCUGCAUAAAGACACACCUUUGUAAUAAUGUGAGGUGGCUGGGCAAGGGAAGGAUCCUGGAGAGGUUUUGGGCCACCAGGAAAGAUUUGGAGAUGUUUUUGUCUCAGCAGAAGAAUGUCAAAGCCAGGCAUUUCCUGGAUUUUCUGAGGAAUUAUGACAGCAUGGAGCUUGUGGCCUUUUUAGUGGACAUAACAUCUCAUCUAAAUGAACUAAAUUUAAAGCUCCAGGGGCAAGGUAAAAAGUGGUUUGCGGGAAGUGGACUGUAACACUAUUACCUUUUGGACUAAAAUGGUCACAGCUGAAAACUGUCCCAACCUACAGAAGUUAGCUAUUCUCAGCAAUGAAUGUUGUAAAGAACAAAUAAAUAAUUUUGCACCAUGCUUAACAAUUUUGUAAUAAUCAGUUGUUCCAGACCUAUAUGAAAAUGAUGAGAAUUCAGAUUUAGACCUUUAAAUGUAAACUUUCAUAACCCCUGACCUAGACUAUUAUCUGGUGUUAUUAACAGUUUUUCUCAGUCGCUUUGGUACAUUUCUCAGAUCAUAUUUGUAAUUUCUUAAAGAAACAGUAUGUAAGAUUGUGGCCAAAACUGGUACUGCAAUCACAAAACUUGUGGCUAAAACUGGUACUGCAAUCACACAACUGGUGGCCAAUACACAACAUGACAACAUAAACAUCAGUUGAGGGCUGCAACUCCACUUUUUAAAUGACAAUAUCCUGGCCGGACCACUGUUGUCAGUGCAGGGUUUCCCGCAGCAUUUUUCAGUUAAGGCGGCCCGCCUAAGCUUGGAAACCCUACCGCCUUAACUAGGUUGUCCAAAAAAAAUAAAAAAAUAAAUCGCUGCACAAAAGGCCGUCAAGCGCAUCUCGGAGAAUAGCGCAUACGCGCAUCACACCGCGAGCGUGCACGUGCACCACACGGCCGAAAUUAGAUAAAGAUGUGGUCCGUCAUGUCUGGAGGAUAGCCAGUUGAUAAAACGCGUGUCUGUGAGAACUGUAAGUGGACUUAUGUUUUGGGGUUAUUUAAGCCUGUUAUUGUUUUAGUUUAUAGUUCUUGCAAUUUUAAAGUAAGUUAGCUGGUGAUUUUGUUGUUUGAGCAACCUGCUACUAGGGUUUCACGUGCCUGUUGAUUAGAUAUAAUUGUUGAGCGCUCUUGCUCACUUUAUUUAUGUGCAUUAUUUACAUGCUACAGUAGUUACACUCCUUUAAGAUAAUGUAAUUAAUAGUGGGAAAUAAUCAGGUUUUACAAUUUUUCAAUCUAUCAUCGUUCGCCAGACGUUCUACAACAUCAGCUUUAGUUUGUGUUUAUUAACCCUUUAGUUUCACUUCAUCACGCAGCUAUUCCUGUUAGAGGUAAAACAUUUAAAAAUAAU